rnacentral:RNase_P_RNA from 2 species
GAAUUCAGGUAAUCGCUGCAAUGCUUGACGUUGUAGAGGAAAGUCCAUGCUCACACGAUUCUGAGACGAUCGUAGUGUUCGUGCGUGACGAAAAAAUAAGUCGCGGCUUCGUGCAAAUAGCACGUUGACGGCGGGAAUAAGCCCUAAGUCCGUUCGCGGAUAUGGGUGAGGUUCCCUGAAAAGUGCCACAGUGACGUAGCCGAUUCGGAAACGGAUCGGGUGGAACGCGGUAAACCCCACGAGUGAGAAACCCAAAUUAUGGUAGGGGCACUCUUCUGAAGGAAUUGAACGGACGAAGGGACAGGCAAUUGCCUGUAGAUAGAUGAUUACCACCCUAAGUACGAGGCUUCGGCCGUUUGAGUACACGGGAACAAAACAUGGCUUAUCGAA